rnacentral:rRNA from 1 species
UCCAUAGGUUAAUGAGGCGAACCGGGGGAACUGAAACAUCUAAGUACCCCGAGGAAAAGAAAUCAACCGAGAUUCCCCCAGUAGCGGCGAGCGAACGGGGAGGAGCCCAGAGCCUGAAUCAGCAUGUGUGUUAGUGGAAGCGUCUGGAAAGGCGCGCGAUACAGGGUGACAGCCCCGUACACAAAAGCGCAUGUGCUGUGAGCUCGAUGAGUAGGGCGGGACACGUGGUAUCCUGUCUGAAUAUGGGGGGACCAUCCUCCAAGGCUAAAUACUCCUGACUGACCGAUAGUGAACCAGUACCGUGAGGGAAAGGCGAAAAGAACCCCGGCGAGGGGAGUGAAAAAGAACCUGAAACCGUGUACGUACAAGCAGUGGGAGCCCCACCACCAAAGCAUUUGCUGUACCGCGUUGACGGAGCGAAGCGACGUCAAACCGAUAAAACAGCAGUGUAAAGUGAGCCGCAGGGCGCUUUGCGCGACAGCGCAAAGGCAGGCGGUUUCGCGUAGCGAAAGCGAAUGCUUUGGGGUGGGGUGACUGCGUACCUUUUGUAUAAUGGGUCAGCGACUUAUAUUCUGUAGCAAGGUUAACCGAAUAGGGGAGCCGGAGGGAAACCGAGUCUUAAUUGGGCGUUAAGUUGCAGGGUAUAGACCCGAAACCCGGUGAUCUAGCCAUGGGCAGGUUGAAGGUUGGGUAACACUAACUGGAGGACCGAACCGACUAAUGUUGAAAAAUUAGCGGAUGACCUGUGGCUGGGGGUGAAAGGCCAAUCAAACCGGGAGAUAGCUGGUUCUCCCCGAAAGCUAUUUAGGUAGCGCCUCGUGAAUUCAUCUCCGGGGGUAGAGCACUGUUUCGGCUAGGGGGCCAUCCCGGCUUACCAACCCGAUGCAAACUGCGAAUACCGGAGAAUGUUAUCACGGGAGACACACGGCGGGUGCUAACGUCCGUCGUGAAGAGGGAAACAACCCAGACCGCCAGCUAAGGUCCCAAAGUCAUGGUUAAGUGGGAAACGAUGUGGGAAGGCCCAGACAGCCAGGAUGUUGGCUUAGAAGCAGCCAUCAUUUAAAGAAAGCGUAAUAGCUCACUGGUCGAGUCGGCCUGCGCGGAAGAUGUAACGGGGCUAAACCAUGCACCGAAGCUGCGGCAGCGACACUAUGUGUUGUUGGGUAGGGGAGCGUUCUGUAAGCCUGUGAAGGUGUGUCGUGAGGC